rnacentral:rRNA from 1 species
GAUGAACGCUGGCGGCGUGCCUAAUACAUGCAAGUCGAGCGAACAGACGAGGCGCUUGCUCCUCUGACGUUAGCGGCGGACGGGUGAGUAACACGUGGAUAACCUCCCUAUAAGACUGGGAUAACUUCGGGAAACCGGAGCUAAUACCGGAUAAUAUAUUGAACCGCAUGGUUGAAUAGUGAAAGACGGUUUUGCUGUCACUUAUAGAUGGAUCUGCGCCGCAUUAGCUAGUUGGUAAGGUAACGGCUUACCAAGGCUACGAUGCGUAGCCGACCUGCGAGAGUGGUAGGCGGCCUGGGAGGGUGGACGCCGUCCAGGCGCCUGAGGGAGGCAACAGUAGGGAAUCGGCCGCAGAAGGGGAGAACCUUGCAGAACAAGCGCGCGUGAGUUACAGAGGUCAUGCGAGCGGAAAACUCUGUUAUGAGAGAAAAACAAAUUUGGAAGGAAAUAAGCACUGCUUGACGGUACCUUAUCAAAAAGCCACGGCUAACUACGUG